rnacentral:rRNA from 1 species
ACGAACGCUGGCGGCGUGCUUAACACAUGCAAGUCGAACGGAAAGGCCCUGCUUUUGUGGGGUGCUCGAGUGGCGAACGGGUGAGUAACACGUGAGUAACCUGCCCUUGACUUUGGGAUAACUUCAGGAAACUGGGGCUAAUACCGGAUAGGAGCUCCUGCUGCAUGGUGGGGGUUGGAAAGUUUCGGCGGUUGGGGAUGGACUCGCGGCUUAUCAGCUUGUUGGUGGGGUAGUGGCUUACCAAGGCUUUGACGGGUAGCCGGCCUGAGAGGGUGACCGGCCACAUUGGGACUGAGAUACGGCCCAGACUCCUACGGGAGACAGCAGUGGGGAAUAUUGCACAAUGGGAGGAAGCCUGAUGCAGCAACGCCGCGUGCGGGAUGACGGCCUUCGGGUUGUAAACCGCUUUAGCCUGUGACGAAGCGUGAGUGACGGUAACGGGUAAAGAAGCACCGGCUAACUACGUG